rnacentral:rRNA from 1 species
UACGUAGGGGGCCAGCGUUGUCCGGAAUCAUUGGGCGUAAAGCGCGCGUAGGCGGCCAGAUAAGUCCGGUUGUGAAAGUCAAACGGCUCAACCUUUGAAUGACCGCUGGAAACUGUCUGGCUUGAGUCCGGAAGGGGCGAGUGGAAUUCCUGGUGUAGCGGUGAAAUGACGUAGAGAUGCGGAGGAACACCGAUGGCGAAGGCAGCCCCCUGGGCUAACACUGACGCUCCAGGCA